GGGGGCGGGUGUGUGAGGAGAGGCCGCGAGGGGCGCUGGUGGUGAGGGGGUGGCUGAGGAAGAGGAGGGAGAUUACAGCUGGAGGAAUUCUAAACAAUUCAAGUCUCCUUGUCAUGGUGUUUAAGUGCAUUGUGCUCCUGUCUGAACAGAGGAAAUCACUGAGAUGGGAGAAGUAAAUGGAGUAGUAAGAGGGAGCGAUCUGCCUGCCCCUGGGGUCAUAAGGUGGAAUUAAGGAUCAGGUUCUUCCAGAUCUUGGUCUUGUACUUCUUCCUGCAGACAAGUUGCCCUUAAAGCUUAUGAAUUAUGUGAGAAUAAAAGCUUCAGUUAGUGAGGUUUCAUGCCUGGUGAUUUUUACAGUGCCGAAAGGGAGGAAGAAGGUGACAAAACGGUGAAAAAUCAAGGCCGGGUCAUUCCUGCCAGACGAGGACAGAGUCCUGUAGCCAGUCAGAUGUGACGGGACGCGCCUGCUGAUGCUGCUACCAGGAAGCUCGAGAGAAAUGCGACUGAACGGUAGCUGUGCGCAUGUGCCUCUGGAGAAAGGAGGCUAUCUGUAAGCUCUUGCAAUGCUUUUCUCUGCCCAGCAACAUCCUUGCUGCUUUUUCUUACGUUCUGCUUAAGCAGCUGUUCUGCAUUUAUGAUCUGAUCUUGCCUUCAUACAGGGCUGUCUUCACACUGAGCCGCUGUCAUUGCAACAGCAGCUAUGUGAGAUGGAGGACAGGUCCUCGGAUUUGCUUUGAGUAAGCUUUAUAAACAGGGCAAAAGCAUGAUAGUUACUGCUCUCAGACUAGUGAGAGAGAGAAAGUAAGCUGCCAGUAAAAAAGGCAGUUCUGCAUCCCAAGGUGUGUGCUUCUAGUGCAUUUUGAAGCUACAGGCCAUGUUGAUUGCAGACUGUGCUUAGAACAGGUUACGGGUAAAAUCAAUUCAGUACAACUCAUGACUUGUGUCUAGCCAGUUCACCUUGGCACCAGCAGUGUACAGAUGCUUCCACAAAUAUAACUGAUCCUGAAUGCUAACCAGUUAAUUAAUGUCAAGCAGAAGGCCUGGAGAAAGAAGUCCCAACUUUUUUUUUAAGCUCAUCUAACCAGUUCAAGACUGUUUCUCAUUAAUCUAUUUGAAAUUUCACAUAGGCCUGUGAAAUCGGAGCAAGCAAUCCAUAUUUUAUGCUAGAGGAUAUUUUUAUGCUCUAUUCUAACCAUUCUUGAAAGCAGGUAUUUGCUACGGAGUUGCUGGAGCCAUCUGAACCAUCGCAGCAGCACUGCCUGGCUGCUCUGGAGGCCCGUCCAGCCUGGAGGUGUAGUGGUUGUCUGCAGCUGCUCAGCACAGCGGCCCCAGCGGCCCGCUGGCAGCUUUUCUGAGCUCAGGGAAUUAGCACCGCUCAGCUGGGAGUGUACGCCUCCCACUGGAGAGGGCUCCACUGCAGCAACAGGACAACGUCUGAUAAGAGAUGGAUGUUGGGUAGGUUUGUUCUUGGUGUCUGAAGUGAGCCAAAGCAGCAAGAAAAAAAGCCCCUCCUGUAUUUUUUUUCCACGUUUUUUGUGAUUGUAUUACAACAGUACUGUUUUGCCUGUACAGUGUGUUUAGUGUGGGCCUGGUGAGGGAUACUUACAGAGUCCCUCUCAUCUGCUGCUAGCUAGCCAGAAACAGCAGAAAAACCUGCUACAGGAUUGCUGUGGCUGUAAUUUGCAGUGCGCUACACGGUGCCCUGCAUUCACCGCCCAUCUGGGUAUUAAAGAAGUCCCCAUGCCUCCAGGGGUAAAAUGUUUUUCACUGACACGUGAGUGCUUUGCUUGGCAGCCUGGUCUGGCACGUCACAGUUCUGAUGGGCUUCUCCCAGGCUUUGCAGCACGGAGCUAAUAUAUCGAAUACAGGUACAGCAUGCGCACACAAAGGUAGUGGGAGGCUGUGCUGGCUUUUUUUUUUUUUUUUUUGCAGUGGUGUUUUGGGCUGUGGCCUCAAUUUAUGCCCUGUGGAUCUGCAGAAGUGGUGGUCUGGUUGCAGUUUUCUAUAGCUGUGUUCCCACCUCUGCAUCGGCUUUGAAGGUUUAUAGCUUUUUAAAAUGAAACAAGCUAAUAAAAAGGGAGCACAAGAUGGAAGCCAGAGUCCUCUAAGUGAUUAAUUUAAAAACAAAGACUGCUUCCUCAUGAUGAUAAGCUACUUGAUAUGUGUGUGGCAUGACCUAAUAGUUCCAUAACCUCUUAGUUCACCUGUCCUGGGGGGACCUUCUCACUCCUUCUGAAGCCUCUGUGCAGCCGUCACCUCCUAGCAGGUGCCGUUUGCAAGCCAAACAGGCUGCUCCUGAUUUCAGCUGCCUUGUUUUUAUGGUAGCUCUUUGCCCUCCCUACAUUACAAAAUACAUUUGUGAUAGGGAGAGAGGCACAAAAGCUGUGCUUUUGGUCACACAGUGGCCAAGUGACACAGCUGGGUCUGCUGCCUCUGCCCAGCUUGGAAUCUCUCCUCUGAGUUAGGGAGGCCGGGGUAAGGCAUACAGUAAUGCCCAGUAUGAUGAACCUGUUAGGGGACACUGGUUUGGUAAGUGGUAUUUUAUAUCAAAACCAGUUUGAAUUGCAAGUUGAGGUUGUGGACGCUUGGUAUAGCAUGUGAUGUCUUGCUUCAUGCCUAACAGAUACUGAAAUAUAUCACCCUUUGUCUUGCUGCCCCAAUAUCUGGGCUCAUCAGGACAUUUCCAGCGUCACUUUCAGCACACCCAGCUCUACAGUGACUGUGCGUUGCACUCUACAUUCUUCUACUCCAGCACUAGGUGUCCCCAAGGUGCAGAAAGGACUUUGGCUUUUUUAGUGUAAUCUAAGGGCAUGAACUCAGCCAAGGAACUUCUCGAAAUCAGGUUCCAGGUGAUAGAAAAGAGCUGAGGGGAUAUUCGGAGGCCUUCACCCUAACUCUUACUCACCCUUCUAGACAGAGCUCCUCAGGAGCUGGCAUUGGGCUCCACCGUGAAGAUUUAUUUUCACAUGCCUAGGAAGACGAGAGAGCAGUGGAGAGAGAACUUGCGUUGCCAGGUUGUUUCUGGGUCGUUGUGGGAGCUGAAGCACCUCAUCUACCCGGUCAUUAUCCAGACCUUUAGCACAGUCAUUUCCGAGCGCUCGCUGCAAUACACCUCUCACCGCAGCCUGCCGCUCCUUACAUUCAGCCAGAGUUGCUCCCUGGCUUGCCCUGCCCAGCUUGCAAAUGUGGCUUGUCAGCCUCUGCUUCUUCGCAAAUGAGUUGCGUAGGUACUGGGAGGAGGAGGCAGCUCAGCAGCCUGCCCAUCCCAUCCAGUCCUAAAGGCUCCUCGCUGCUUAGGUUUUCUGAAGUAGUUUGCCACGUGAACAGUGUGGGCAUAAAACUUUGUUGUUUCCCUAAAUGCUCAGCCUUUUGCAAACAGGAGGUCAUUUCCCAGGGGGGAAGACAAGCUGUUGAUGUGGUGGGCAGUCAGCUUGUCGCUUGGAUCAAAUCCAGAGCUGAUUAGCUUGGGCACAGCGGCGUGCUAACGCAGGCAGAACGCACCCAGCCUGGCUCCCAUCUAGAUAGCACGGACCUCCCCACGCUGCUCUCCUCUCCGCUGUCCCCGCAGUGCAGCGUGAGCUUGGGUCCCUGUCCUCGCCUGUGCUGGCAUGCCUGCAGCAAACCACAAUUUGCACCCAGCGCUGCUCACCUGCGUCUCGAUGUGUGGCAUACCCUCCCAAAGCAAAUAGUGAUUUUUGCCUGCCUGCACUGACUCAGCUCUGCUGAAGGCAGGAAUUGAACUAACCCCGGCCAGCGAAGACUAUGGGUGAAGGGUAUGUUCUGUAGUAUGUAGCAGGGCAUUUUCAAGAAAUUUGACUACGUCCCAGGAAUGCACUGAAGUGGGCAAUGCUGCGUUAAGCAAGAGAGCCUACCCUGAAGCCAUUAAUUUCUCCUCAGAUGUAAGCGCUGGGGUUUUUUUUUCUCCUGUCUGCAAUUACUAGCUAGCAGCUGAGAGUCGAAAGGAAUCUGGGCUAUCUGUAGGAAACAAGUACCUACUCCUUGCCUCCUCUCAGAAAACAAGGUCCUUCGUUACAGCCUGUCGUGGAAAGGGGCUCGCAGAUAAGGAGGGGCAGGAAACCUGCCAGGCUCCACGUUAGCAAGUCUAAAUUUUUUUCCAUAGUCCUAGCCCUGUGAGUCAGCAUUUCUAGAGCUUGGACGUGUUUAUAGCAGCAGUCGGUGGGAUGGUACCAGGUAUGUGAGGUGUGGAGGUACGUGUGUGUCUAAAAUGAGCAACCUUUUGCCCAAAUGCAAUCAAGGAAGUUACCGGUUGUAUUUCUGAAAUGGGACUAACGGGAAGCACGUACUGGGUAGGUACCCUGAAUGGUAAUUGCAGAGGAGUCAUCUGUACGGUAAGGAGUUUCCGAGUGAGUAAGGGAAUCAGAACCUCAUAAAGAAGGUUUGCUUAAUAUAUUGUGUUGUCGCAGUUCACUUAAGAAAAAGACUGGCAGAAAAAAAAAAAAAAAGAAAAAGAUUAUAUCCCAGUUUACUGGGAUAAAAAUAGCACUUUCCCCCUCAAGUGGUUAUAGACUCAUUUUACACUGGCUUGUCUAGUCUGGAAGGAAGGCCCCCAAAAUUGUACAGGUAACAAACCAAACCCUGAUGUUUCUCUUCAGGGCCCAGACCUGCCCUGGAAUAAGGAAUGUGAACCAUGGGGGAUCUUGUGUCACUGCAGGCUGAUGUCUGUGCAUGCGAGCUUGCCGCCCAUGCCUGGCCGGUCAGCCUGGCUGAAUCUCAUGGUAAAGGGAGGAAAUGUCAAAAACAGUAUAGAUUAUUUUAGAUCUGCAACCUCAGUUCUGCAAAGGUAUUUAUUUUGAAAAUUCUAGUUUCCAUAGCAAUGUAGUGCUGUUCUCUCUCAUCUCUCUUCUAUUACUCCAAUCUCAGCAGCCAUUAGAUACAUUAUCAGUGAAGCAAACCUUAGCAUUUUUUAUCUUUAGGGUGACUUUAUGUAUGUUGGUUCCUUAGUGAAUCAGAGUCAGUUAGUCAAGGAUUGACUCACAUCCUUUCCUGGGGCAGACAUGAGGUCUAUUGCAGUCUAAAGAUGAUAAUGAAGAAUAUUACUAAUUGGACUUUGUGUAUGAAGUCCUAGGCUACUUUCCAGUAGAGUGGGGGUCUUACAUCUAGGAUUCUGGUUCAACUCCAGAUGUGUAAGUUCUGUUAUGUCUUCAGAUUUUACUUAGGGCUCACCGUAGCUUCAUUAGGACAUAAUGAUCUUUUUUCAUGGAUAUAAUAAAUGAACUCUCGCAGUGUUGUUUUGUUCAGCUGCCAUUUGCCACCCCAGAGGUGACUUCUGGAUGCAGUUCCCCAUCCCGUUGUUAACGGAGUCAGUACUCAUGGCUCAUUCAUUCUCCUCUCUUAAUGGCCUCACCCAGGAUCAGAGAAGCUCCAGUGCUGCUGUGAGGGCAGGGCAGAGGCAGGCAGGCAGAGAGAGGGAUGGCCUUCCCUUCUGGGAGCAGCUAGCCAUUACGUCAGCUUUAGAUGGUUAAUGUAAAACUGACAACGUGACGCUUCUAAGAAACAGAAGAGUUGCUUCAUCUUUCAUGUACGUACAACCCGCUGCCCUUUGUAUUUAGAUUUCUGGUGUCUGUGUGUGUGGAGCUGAUUUGCCCGUAAUUGUUUGCUUUCUUCGGAGUCUUUUGAAGCUUGUCUUCAAGCCAGUUCCUUAUAUUAAAAAUAAAUUCUUCCAAGCCACCAAUAAAAUGUCAACUGUGAUUAAAGCCUGACUCCUCGGUUCGAGA